CCCCCACCACCAGCCAAGAGCACAGCCCACCCCCAGGGCAGGCUCUGCUCUUGGCUCUUUCACCACACAGCUCCACAAUAAACACCACACUGCUGCCCACACAACCAGCCACAAGUCAACAACCCCAAGACACUCCUGCCACCAGACUCAAAACAAAAAACACACACCAAAGGCCACCUGAAGACAAAAGACACUGCCACACUACUGCCAACAGCCACACAAAGCCAGACAGCCCCCAAGAAAAACCACCACCAAACCCAACAACCAGCUCCACCUUCCACACUCAAACCGCCCAAGCCACUUUCUACCACCAGCCUCCUAACCAACAAAACAAAAUAGACAAGCACCACCACCAAGCCAGCCUGCCACAUCACCAACACAAACCUCUGACGCGCCAAAGCCAGCCAGCCACCUAAGCAAACACAAACCAAGCCCCAAGACAACACAGCACCCCAGGCCUACCCGCUGGCUCCGCUCCUCCUCCGCAUCGCAGCGCCUGGGAUCUCCCUCUUCCACACAGGACUUCAGCCCCACCAGGACCCCUCACUCCAGCAUGGAAGGCCACACUCUAUCAACUCCACUCCUCCAGGACAGGGCCUGCCACGCACCUUCCACCCUGUAAAAAAAGCACAGCGUCACCCACACAGCCACUGCCUCCGGCCCUGGGGCGCCACCCACCUCACAGGUAACAACAUACAGCUCACCUUGCUCUCCACAGAGGCACCCUGCUCACACCACCAGGAUCCUUCCUCCAGCCUGAACCUGCACAGAGACCUCCACAAACCACCUCCAAGGGGGCACGCCUGGGGGCAGCCCUCCGCCAGGAGGGCUCCCACCUGGGGCUCCCCCUCUCUCACCUCCUUCAUCCCACUGCUGGGGAAACUGCACACCUGCUCCAGCCAACCCUCUCGGCAAAGCUCUCCGCUGCAGCCCUCGCCCUGCAACAAGAGCACAGAUCACACAGCCAGACAGAAUGCCAAGGCCCCACUGCAAAGCGCCCGCACGCAACUGCAAUGGGGCCCGGGGAACCGGACUCCGCUACCUCCCCGGGCACCCUCUCCCAUCCCGCUCACAGGGAAAUCAUUCUUCUUCCUCCUGAAUGAGAAAUUCUGGUGAUACCAAACAUGCACACUGCCCCCCUACUGCCACACGCCACUCAUCCCCGUCAACUCGGCUCCUGCGCAGCACGCAUUGCUAACUGCCACCCUCCUCUCCUCUCACUGCACAAUCAAGACAACGCACAAAGCUACCUUUUGGUCCGGCAUGACUUCCCCUCUGUCCAUCCACCUGGACUGCUCCUUGCAAAUUCCUUCUCUUCCGGUCACAUGGCAAUGACACCUGCAACAAGCUGUUACGUCACCUCCCCAGGAACAGAGGUGAGGCCAACCUACCUCCAAGUUGCACACGCCAUCCUCCACACCCUUUCUGAAGGCUGCGGUGGCAUCCGCCAUCCUCCAGUCUUCAGGUACCUUUCCCCACAGGAAACAGCAGGGAAAAGUGACAGAGAGCGCCAUUUGCCGGUCACCGCUGCCAGCUCUCAGCGGGCACAGGCAUAGCCCUCUACAGCUCAGGCAUUUGCUGGCCUCCUUUCUGCCUGAACCACUUUUGACCAGCUCCUCUGCAACUGAGGGGAAGGCAACCUUCCUCUGAGACUCUCUCCUCCAGGACCCCAGGUUGCCCAGGAGCACUCUCAGCAGAGACCACUGAAACCAAAACAGGCAUCCAACACAUCCUCCAUUACUCAGGCCCUUGCCUUGUGAAGCACAGGCCUGCAAUUUCUCCAGUCUCUCCUGUUGACAAACUUCCAUUAGCCUUGACCUCCCUCCCAAAGCUGAUACUCAGAGGGACUUGGCCUUCCUCAGCCUCUCUCUUCCUUCUCCCCUUCAAGUUCCUCAGUCAGCCCUGCAGGUCCCCCACCAUUCCUGCGCACUUCCUUCCUCCUUGGGACGCAGCGCACCUCAGCAUGGACGAAGUAAUGCUCCAGCAUUCACAGGACCCCUUCCUAUGCUUGAGCAAGGGUUACCUCCAAGUAGGCCCUUCAAGAGGACAAACCUGGCUCCCUCUAAGUCCAGUGUUUCAAUCCUACUCAUUGCUUUGCAGCUUCCACACAAGAUCCCAAACGCUGUGGUCUCACGACUGGCACGCUCCAGGCUGCCCCUGGCCUUCCUGUCCCCAAAUGGCUCUUCUGCAAUAGGGAGCUCCUCAAUGCCUCCUUCGUCACCUGUGUCAGAAGAUCUUACCUUUGACACAUUGCAGGAAACUCCUGGAGCCUACCAUGAGAACUAGCCUCACAGCUGUGGGCACCAUUUCCAGCUGUGUGCAGAAGGUCUAUAGCUUCCUCACCCUGGUCUGUGACCAACACCCCACUCAGGUCACCCACUUUUACCUGCCUCUUCAGCCUCACGCACAAACGCUCCGCUGGUUCUUCAGUCAUCCCUAGGUGGAGCUCGAUACGUUCCCGUUCUCUCCCUCGAAAAGAGACUCCACCGCCUGGCCGGUCUGCCUUUCCUAAAAGGAACAGAGCCAUCCACGACAGCACUUCAGUCGUGCGAGCUGCCCUGCCAGGUCUCCAC
ensembl:lncRNA